CGAUGAGUGUCACGGGAGUGUUGGUUAAACAAACUCCACCUGGUUCUGUGCUCAUUCAUUCAGCACCGUGUGCAGAGCUCCCAGAUGCACAGACGCCAUGCCCGGGGCUGAGCAUGCACUUGCUCUUCAGCGGCUCGUGGUGCAGUGGAGGGGACAGACGAGGUGGUGACCAUCCCAGGGAAUGCCGUGACAGAGGCCCCCUCGAGGUGCAGCGGGGGACUGAAGACACACGCUCAGUGAGCUCUGCGGGCUCAGGAACCUCCCUUUAGGGGUGGAUGCCAGGCUGGGUGGUAUAGGGAAGGACAGACAACCAGGCAGGGGAGACCAUGGGUGCAGGCAGGGAGGCCAAUGAUCCAGGGAACCACAGGAGCUGAUGGUGCCUUUGCUGGGACCCAUAUUGUCCAAUCUGGAAGCCAGUGGCCACACCUAGGCACCUGCGGCCUCCCUGCUGAGCAGCACAGGUGUGGAACAGGCCUGUCGUCAAAGAGGAUUUGACUGGACUGUGCUGGAAGAGCUCCGAAAAGAUUACGACGCAGAGCUCACCCACCACCGUCGCCCCCACCAUGCAAUGCAGAAUUUGAAACGGUGCUAAACCGCCACACAGACACACAACCUACCGACUGGCUGGAAUUAAAAUCGCGUCUUCACAGAGCUCGUAGCAGCAUCGCGGCGUGCUCAUCAAGGCUGGGUGAUGCUGACUGCGCGCUGCCCUGUUUGCUGUGCCACAGCACAAGCCUGGCUGGGCAUAUAUAUUUAUUAUCUGCCUCUCCUGAUUACAUGCACACUCCACACAGGGAGGCUGUGGGUCGAAGGGUGUAGAUGCUGAGGCUGCAGCGUGGGCGGGUUACAGACUAAGCAGCCUGGCUGUGGCCUGUGGGUCUCACCAAGUCCACGGGCUCCCCCUGCACACACCCCUUCAUCAUUGUCCUCUGCUCCACGCAAAAUCACGCAGUGCUGGGCCAGUCACGGGCACACAGCAGAGGCUUGCCGACUGUGUGAUACGCUAAGUCACUACAAAACACUGGAUACACCAGCGGUUCUCUGGAAACAGCUUAACUUUUUCCCCAUCAGCUCCAGCAAGCUCACUAUGCCCCGGUACAGAGCGCUCAGGCAUUUUGCCUAAGUAAUUAAUGUAAUGUUCCCUCCCAGCCACCCCCCUGUGGUGGGAGAAGCCAGGGGUCCUGGUAACGUGGGGCAUGACCCACUCCAUCUGUAUUGAUCGGCUUCCCUGGGAAGCAGAGGGCACGGGAGGUGCAGGCUGGCCUUUUGUGCAUACAGUCUUUCAUCUUUUCCUUUGGUGUGCCUCCGAUAACCUACACAGAGCAUUCCAUCUUACAUGCAUAUACCAGAGGCUGUAAAUUCAACAGAGAAAGAGAUCAAAAGAAAGAGAAAAGCAUUUAUACCCUUUCUCAAGGUACCAGCAGCCUCCACACUUCACUCUGUGUAGCCCCACCCCACUGAAGCUCACAUUCAACUUAGUAAAACACUUCAAUUUGACCCAGCAAUCCCAUUACUGGGUAUAUACCCAAAGGAAUAUAAAUAGUUCUACUAUAAAGAUACAUGCACGCAUAUGUUCAUUGCAGCACUAUUCACAAUAGCAAAGACACGGAAUCAACCCAAAUGCCCAUCAAUGAUAGACUGGAUAAAGAAAAUGUGGUACAUAUAGACCAUGGAAUACUAUGCAGCCAUAAAAAGGAAUGAGAUCAUGUCCUUUGCAGGAACCUGGGUAGAUCUGGAAGCCAUUAUCCUCAGCAAACUAACGCAGGAAGAGAAAACCAAACACCACAUGUUCUCACUCAUAAGUGGGAGCUGAACGAUGAGAACACACGGACGCAGGAAGGGGAACAUCACAUACUCCGGCCUGUCGGGGGUGGGGGGAGGAGGAGCAUCAGGACAAAUAGCUAAUGCAUGUGGGGAUUAACACCUAGGUGAUGGGUUGAUCUGUGCCGCAAACCACCAUGGCACACGUUUACCUACGUAGCAAACAUGCACAUCCGCACAUGUAUCCCAGAACUUAAAAUAAAAUUUAAAAAAAAACACUUCAACUCAGUACUUCAAAAACAAAAAAAAAGGGAAAAGAAUGCUCCCUCUGGAAAUGUUUCUCUUUGGGAAAUAAAUAAAAGCUCGUCUUCAGAAAACAUUAGUCAGUGUAGCGAUGCCAUCUACAGCUGAUGCCGCCAAGCAGACAGGCCCUUUCCAGGAUCCGUCUCGCUGCGACAGGC
rnacentral:lncRNA from 10 species